CCUACGGGAGGCAGCAGUGAGGAAUAUUGGUCAAUGGACGAGAGUCUGAACCAGCCAAGUAGCGUGAAGGAUGACUGCCCUAUGGGUUGUAAACUUCUUUUAUAUGGGAAUAAAACAGGGUAUGCAUACCCUCUUGUAUGUACCAUAUGAAUAAGGAUCGGCUAACUCCGUGCCAGCAGCCGCGGUAAUACGGAGGAUCCGAGCGUUAUCCGGAUUUAUUGGGGUUAAAGGGAGCGUAGGUGGAUUGUUAAGUCAGUUGUGAAAGUUUGCGGCUCAACCGUAAAAUUGCAGUUGAAACUGGCAGUCUUGAGUACAGUAGAGGUGGGCAGAAUUCGUGGUGUAGCGGUGAAAUGCUUAGAGAUCACGAAGAACUCCGAUUGCGAAGGCAGCUCACUGGACUGCAACUGACACUGAUGCUCGAAAGUGUGGGGAUCAAACAGGAUUAGAUACCCUAGUAGUC
rnacentral:rRNA from 1 species